CAAGUUCAGUGCNUAAGCGAAAGUGAUAAGUAUCCCACCUGGNGAGUACGAANNCAAGUUUGAAACUCAAAGGAAUNGACGGGGGCCCGCACAAGCGGUGGAGCAUGUGGUUUAAUUNGNUNAUACGCGAGGAACCUUCCCNANNNUUAAANNCAGACUGACCGAUUUGGAAACAGAUCUUUCGCAAGACAGUUUACAAGGUGNUGCAUGGUUGUCGUCAGCUCGUGCCGUGAGGUGUCAGGUUAAGUCCUAUAACGAGCGCAACCCCCGUUGUUAGUUGCCAGCGAGUCAUGUCGGGAACUCUAACAAGACUUCCAGUGCAAACUGUGAGGAAGGUGGGGAUGACGUCAAAUCAUCUCGGCCCUUUCGCCUUGGGCUACACACGUGCUACAAUGGCCGGUACAGAGAGCAGCCACUGGGUGUCCAGGAGCGAAUCUAUAAAGCCGGUCACAGUUUGGAUCGGAGUCUGCAACUAGAUUCCGUGAAGCUGGAAUCGCUAGUAAUCGGAUAUCAGCCAUGAUCCGGUGAAUACGUUCCCGGCCCUUGUACACACCUCCCGUCAAUCCAUGGCAGCU
rnacentral:rRNA from 1 species